rnacentral:rRNA from 1 species
UACGUAGGGGGCAAGCGUUGUCCGGAUUUAUUGGGCGUAAAGAGCGUGUAGGCGGUCAGGUAGGUCCGUUGUGAAAACUCGAGGCUCAACCUCGAGACGCCGAUGGAAACCAUCUGACUAGAGUCCGGAAGAGGAGAGUGGAAUUCCUGGUGUAGCGGUGAAAUGCGUAGAUAUCGCUUGGAACGCCGAAGGUGAAAACAGGUCGCUGGGGAUGUGCCGACGCUGAGACACGAAAGCCAGGGGAGCAAACGGG